AGAGUUUGAUCCUGGCUCAGGAUGAACGCUGGCGGCGUGCUUAACACAUGCAAGUCGAACGGGAAUUACUUUAUUGAAACUUCGGUCGAUUUAAUUUAAUUCUAGUGGCGGACGGGUGAGUAACGCGUGGGUAACCUGCCUUAUACAGGGGGAUAACAGUCAGAAAUGGCUGCUAAUACCGCAUAAGCGCACAGAGCUGCAUGGCUCAGUGUGAAAAACUCCGGUGGUAUAAGAUGGACCCGCGUUGGAUUAGCUUGUUGGUGGGGUAACGGCCCACCAAGGCGACGAUCCAUAGCCGGCCUGAGAGGGUGAACGGCCACAUUGGGACUGAGACACGGCCCAGACUCCUACGGGAGGCAGCAGUGGGGAAUAUUGCACAAUGGGGGAAACCCUGAUGCAGCGACGCCGCGUGAAGGAAGAAGUAUCUCGGUAUGUAAACUUCUAUCAGCAGGGAAGAUAGUGACGGUACCUGACUAAGAAGCCCCGGCUAACUACGUGCCAGCAGCCGCGGUAAUACGUAGGGGGCAAGCGUUAUCCGGAUUUACUGGGUGUAAAGGGAGCGUAGACGGUGUGGCAAGUCUGAUGUGAAAGGCAUGGGCUCAACCUGUGGACUGCAUUGGAAACUGUCAUACUUGAGUGCCGGAGGGGUAAGCGGAAUUCCUAGUGUAGCGGUGAAAUGCGUAGAUAUUAGGAGGAACACCAGUGGCGAAGGCGGCUUACUGGACGGUAACUGACGUUGAGGCUCGAAAGCGUGAGGAGCAAACAGGAUUAGAUACCCUGGUAGUCCACGCCGUAAACGAUG
rnacentral:rRNA from 1 species